CGUUGUCGCUAGGGGUGCCCCCGUCAGGGGCUGAGAUGGCCGUGGACCGGCCAGACCCUUUGAACCUGAACCGGGUCAUACCGGCGGAGGGAAGCGGCGGGCGCUCCAA
rnacentral:ncRNA from 20 species